rnacentral:rRNA from 1 species
GACGAACGCUGGCGGCGUGCUUAACACAUGCAAGUCGAACGGUCCUCGCCGAAGAAAACCUUCGGGUUAGAAACGGAGAGAGGAUAGUGGCGGAUGGGUGAGUAACGCGUGGAGAACCUGUCCCUUAGCUUGGGAUAACCUGACGAAAGUCGGACUAAACCCGAAUAAAGUGUCCAAAGAGCAUUCUUGGGACAAAAAAGAUGGGUCAAACCAUCACUAAGGGGUGGCUCCGCGUCGGAUUAGCUAGCUGGUGAGGUAAAGGCUCACCAGGGCAACGAUCCGUAGCUGGUCUGAGAGGACGAACAGCCACACUGGGACUGAGACACGGCCCAGACUCCUACGGGAGGCAGCAGUGGGGAAUAUUCCGCAAUGGACGAAAGUCUGACGGAGCAACGCCGCGUGAGUGAAGAAGGCCUUCGGGUCGUAAAGCGCUGUCCUUGGGGAAGAAUGGCCUUAACAGGAAAUGGUUAAGGAGGAGACGGUACCUGAGGAGGAAGCCCUGGCUAACUACGUGCCAGCCGCCGCCGUAACAC